AGCUCCAAUAGCGUAUAUUAAAGUUGUUGCAGUUAAAAAGCUCGUAGUUGGAUUUGUGAUGGCACCUGCGGUCCAAAAUGUUUUGGUACUGUCGGGUGCUGUCAUCCUUGGGUGGAACCUGUGGGGCAUUAGGUUGUUUUGCAGGGGAUGCCCAUCGUUUACUGUGAAAAAAUUAGAGUGUUCAAAGCAGGCUUAUGCCGUUGAAUAUAUUAGCAUGGAAUAAUGAGAUAGGACUUGGGUACUAUUUUGUUGGUUUGCGCACCGAAGUAAUGAUUAAUAGGGACAGUUGGGGGUAUUCGUAUUCCAUUGUCAGAGGUGAAAUUCUUGGAUUUUUGGAAGACGAACUACUGCGAAAGCAUUUACCAAGGAUGUUUUCA
rnacentral:rRNA from 1 species